CAGCUCGCUGGAUAUGCUGGGCCGUUGUCUCGAGCAGCAGCCAGCCAUCUCAGCAGCGCUGCUGUCCCCCGACGUCCGCAGGAGGGAGAAUGACCUCUGCACAUUGACUGAGACGGACAUCACCACUGCAGAGGACGUGGUUAGAUGCCUCGGACCCAUGAAGACCGCCACCCUAGCCAUCUCUGAGGAGGAGUCCCCUACCAUGUCAAUGGUUGCCCCGCUGCAAUUUCAACUGCUUAAUCAGAUGGCAUGCACUGCCGAAGACACGUCCAUCAUUAAGGAGCUCAAAACUGCUGUCCACCAGAACUUGAGUUCACGAUAUGAAGGCCUGAAGGAGACCUUGUGUGUAGCAUCAUCCUUGGAUCCACGGUUCAAGACCCUACCGUUCCUGUCUGAUGAGGCACGUGAUGCUGUCUUCUUGAAAUAGACCUCUGAAGCUGCUCAUCCAAACCCAUCAACCGAUAACACUACACCAGAGCAAGAGAACACCCAUGGUUCAAUGGAUGUGGC
ensembl:lncRNA